GUAUUCACCGCGACAUUCUGAUUCCUGCGAUUACUAGCGAUUCCAACUUCAUGAAGCUCGAGUUGCAGACUUCAAUCCGAACUGAGAAUACUUUUGAUGAGGUUUGCUCCACCUCGCGGUUUCGCUUCUCUUUGUAGUAUCCAUUGUAGCACGUUUGUAGCCCAGGUCAUAAAGGGCAUGAUGAUUUGACGUCAUCCCCACCUUCCUCCAAUUUAUCACUGGCAGUAUCGCUAGAGUCCCCAACUUAAUGAUGGUAACUAACGACGAGGGUUGCGCUCGUUGCGGGACUUAACCCAACAUCUCACGACACGAGCUGACGACAACCAUGCACCACCUGUCUCGAUGAUAACCUCCACUAUAUCUCUAUAGCUUUGCAUCGGAUGUCAAGACCUGGUAAGGUUCUUCGCGUAUCCUCGAAUUAAACAACAUGCUCCACCGCUUGUGCGGGCUCCCGUCAAUUCCUUUAAGUUUCAUACUUGCGUACGUACUACUCAGGCGGAGUACUUAAUGCGUUAACUUCAGCACUGAUUUACACCAACACUUAGUACUCAUCGUUUACGGCGUGGACUACCAGGGUAUCUAAUCCUGUUUGCUCCCCACGCUUUCGUGCCUCAGCGUCAGUAAUGGCCUAGCAAGCCGCCUUCGCCACUGGUGUUCUUCCAUAUAUUUACGCAUUUUACCGCUACACAUGGAGUUCCACUUGCC
rnacentral:rRNA from 1 species